CGGGAGCAAUCCUGGUGGCGAGUGGCGAACGGGUGAGUAAUAUAUCGGAACGUGCCCAGUCGUGGGGGAUAACGCAGCGAAAGCUGUGCUAAUACCGCAUACGAUCUACGGAUGAAAGCGGGGGAUCGCAAGACCUCGCGCGAUUGGAGCGGCCGAUAUCAGAUUAGCUAGUUGGUGGGGUAAAAGCCCACCAAGGCGACGAUCUGUAGCUGGUCUGAGAGGACGACCAGCCACACUGGAACUGAGACACGGUCCAGACUCCUACGGGAGGCAGCAGUGGGGAAUUUUGGACAAUGGGCGCAAGCCUGAUCCAGCAAUGCCGCGUGCAGGAUGAAGGCCUUCGGGUUGUAAACUGCUUUUGUACGGAGCGAAACGGCUUCCCCUAAUACGGGGAGCUAAUGACGGUACCGUAAGAAUAAGCACCGGCUAACUACGUGCCAGCAGCCGCGGUAAUACGUAGGGUGCGAGCGUUAAUCGGAAUUACUGGGCGUAAAGCGUGCGCAGGCGGUUAUAUAAGACAGAUGUGAAAUCCCCGGGCUCAACCUGGGACCUGCAUUUGUGACUGUAUAGCUAGAGUACGGUAGAGGGGGAUGGAAUUCCGCGUGUAGCAGUGAAAUGCGUAAAUAUGCGGAGG
rnacentral:rRNA from 1 species